rnacentral:rRNA from 1 species
UGUCAAGUUCAAGCUUCGAUUUGUGAGGGCGAAACCGCGAAUGGCUCAUUAAAUCAGUCAUAAUCUACUUGAUUGUUCAAGUUUAAAUGGAUAACUGUGGUAAUUCUAGAGCUAAUACAUGCGUGAAGAGGGCGACGUGAACGCAAGUUUGCGAAGCCCUGCGUUUAUUAGACUAAGACCGAUGGCGCGCAAGCGCCUCAUUUCUGGUGACUCUGAGUAAAUAACGGGUGCAAGCCCGUGUUGCCGACCUGGCAUUCCAAACGGUCUAACCACCGGCCAGGCGAAUCAAUCGAGUGUCUGCUCUAUCAACUGUGGAUGGUAGGGUAAUUGCCUACCAUGGUGAUGACGGGUAACGGGGAGUUAGGGCUCGACUCCGGAGAACAAGCCUGAGAAACGGCUAGUAGGACUAAGGUCUGCAGCAGGCGCGAAACUUACACAAUGCUAGAUUUCCAUCUAAAAUAGCGAUGUAGUGAAGAAAAAUAACGAUGUAUUUGAACUAUACGUUCUUGUACAAUUGGAAUGAGACGACUUUAAAUUAGUUAGUCGAGUAACAAAUGGAGGGCAAGUCUGGUGCCAGCAGCCGCGGUAAUUCCAGCUCCAUUAGCAUACAUUAAAGUUGUUGCGGUUAAAAAGCUCGWAGUUGAAUGUAGKGGGGGUUUGUCUGGCGCAGGUUCGUUAAGGUUGCAUUGAAAACACUAGCCUUCGGGUAUAGAAACAAUCAGCUGAGCUUGUUUGUCCAAUCGGACCCCCAGUUUCGUCACUUAAUCGAGUGCGAAGCAGGUCGGUACGUCAUAAUAAAUUUCGAUUUAUUAUCGCAUCGGCAAGUUUACCUUGAGAAAAUUAGAGUGCUCAGAGCAGGCAGUUGGGCUGUAAAAGGUCCUUUAUGCUUGAAUAAUGUUGCAUGGAAUAAUAGAAUACGGCCUCGGUUCUAUUCUGUUGGUCUUAUAGAACAACAAACAAGUUGGUUAGUUCAAUCAAUGGUUUAGUUCAAGUGUGGCCUGUUAAGGAUCGUGUUGUCAGCAGCCUAAAAACUCCUGUACCUCGCCUUGCUAGCCAUCAAAGCACUUUUACCAAACUAGAACCACUCCAACUGAGGCAAUGGUUAAAAGAAAUAGUCGCGGCGGCAUCAGUACUGCAUCGUGAGAGGUGAAAUUCUUAGACCGAUGCAAGACUAACUGAAGCGAAAGCGUUUGCCGAGGAUAUUUUCAUUAAUCAAGAACGAAAGUUAGAGGUUCGAAGGCGAUCAGAUACCGCCCUAGUUCUAACCAUAAACGUUGCCAACUAGCAAUUGGGUUGCGAUUCCUUUAAUUGGAGCCUAAAAAACUCCAAUCAUUAUGAUCCACCCAGCGGCUCUCGUAGGGAAACCAAAGUGUUUGGGUUCCGGGGGAAGUAUGAUUGCAAAGUUGAAACUUAAAGGAAUUGACGGAAGGGCACCACCAGGAGUGGAGCCUGCGGCUUAAUUUGACUCAACACGGGGAAACUUACUAGAUUAAAACUCUGGAAUGAUUGACAGAUUGAUAGCUCUUUCUUGAUUCAGAGGAUGGUGGUGCAUGGCCGUUCUUGAUUCGUAUUCCGAAACGUCUGCUUAAUUGCGAUAACGAGUGAGACCUCACCCAACUAACUAGUCGGCUGGUGCGCUGUGGGGCGCUCAAGGUGGUUGUGGAUCACGGUUAGAAGGUGGCAACACCAACUAGCUACCGCUUCCAUUGCCCUCUGCUCGCCGUCGGACUUCUUAGAGGGAUAAACGGUGUUUUAGCCGUAAGAAACGAGGCAAUAACAGGUCUGUGAUGCCCUUAGAUAUUCUAGGCCGCACGCGUGCUACAAUGGCGUGUGCAGAAAGCUUAUUCGAGGUUCGUCCAGAGAGAACUAGUAAUUUGGUGCAAGUUUGGGGCAACUCAGAUUUGCGUCGAUUGCCAAGUGACUCUGGUUCGCGGGCCGAGAGAAACCGCAGCCGAAAGGUUGUGGCAAUCAAAAAUACACGCCGUGAUUUGGGAUUGGGGAUUGCAAUUGUUGCCCAUGAACGAGGAAUUCCCAGUAAGCGCAAUUCAUCAUAUUGCGUUGAUUACGUCCCUGCCCUUUGUACACACCGCCCGUCGCUACUACCGAUUGGAAGUUUUAGUGAGGCAUCUGGACUCGUCGGCCAUGGGAGGGGCAACCCUCCUCGGCCUGGUGGGGAAGUUUGUCGAACUCAAAUUUCUAGAGGAAGUAAAAGUCGUAACAAGGUUUCCGU